GAUGAACGCUGGCGGCGUGCUUAAUACAUGCAAGUCGAACGGAGAGCCUUUGUAGCAAUACGAGGGUUUCGUAGUGGCGAACGGGUGCGUAACGCGUUGGCGACCUGCCCCGAAGUGAGUGAUAACAGUUCGAAAGGAUUGCUAAUACCGCAGGUGGUUUUCCGGAGCAGAUGCCGGAUCUCUAAAGCAGUAAUGCGCUUCGGGAGGGACCUGCGUCCCAUCAGCUAGUUGGUGAGGGAACGGCCCACCAAGGCUACGACGGGUAGGGGACCUGAGAGGGUGGUCCCCCACACUGGCACUGAAACACGGGCCAGACACCUACGGGUGGCAGCAGUAGGGAAUAUUGGGCAAUGGGCGAAAGCCUGACCCAGCAACGCCGCGUGCACGAUGAAGGUCUUCGGAUCGUAAAGUGCUUUUCUGAGAGAUGAGAAAGGACAGUAUCUCAGGAAUAAGUCUCGGCUAACUACGUGCCAGCAGCCGCGGUAACAC
rnacentral:rRNA from 1 species